CCUACGUGAUGCUGCAGUGGGGAAUAUUGGACAAUGGGCGAAAGCCUGAUCCAGCCAUGCCGCGUGUGUGAAGAAGGCCUUCGGGUUGUACAGCACUUUCAGUGGGGAAGAAAGCCUUGGGGCUAAUACCCUCGAGGAAGGACAUCACCCACAGAAGAAGCACCGGCUAACUCCGUGCCAGCAGCCGCGGUAAUACGGAGGGUGCGAGCGUUAAUCGGAAUUACUGGGCGUAAAGCGCGCGUAGGCGGUCUGAUAAGCCGGUUGUGAAAGCCCCGGGCUCAACCUGGGAACGGCAUCCGGAACUGUCAGGCUAGAGUGCAGGAGAGGAAGGUAGAAUUCCCGGUGUAGCGGUGAAAUGCGUAGAGAUCGGGAGGAAUACCAGUGGCGAAGGCGGCCUUCUGGACUGACACUGACGCUGAGGUGCGAAAGCGUGGGUAGCAAACAGGAUUAGAUACCCCUGUAGUC
rnacentral:rRNA from 1 species